rnacentral:rRNA from 1 species
UACGUAGGGUGCGAGCGUUAAUCGGAAUUACUGGGCGUAAAGCGUGCGCAGGCGGUGAUGUAAGACAGGUGUGAAAUCCCCGGGCUUAACCUGGGAACUGCAUUUGUGACUGCAUAGCUAGAGUACGGUAGAGGGGGAUGGAAUUCCGCGUGUAGCAGUGAAAUGCGUAGAUAUGCGGAGGAACACCUGCGGCGAAGGCGGGUUGCUGGGCCGACACUGACGCUGAUGCGCGAAAGCCAGGGGAGCGAACGGG